rnacentral:rRNA from 1 species
GACGAACGCUGGCGGCGCGCUUAACACAUACAAGUCGAACGGAAAGGCCUGCUUUCCCUUGUGGAUUGCGGGUACUCGAGUGGCGAACGGGUGAGUAACACGUGAGUGAUCUGCCCCCAACUUGGGUAUAAGCCUGGGAAACUGGGUCUAAUUCCCGAUAGGACUGCAGGGUGGUGCCUGUGGUGGAAAACGAUUUUCUAGUGGUUGGGGAUGAGCUCGCGGCCUAUCAGCUUGUUGGUGGGGUAAUGGCCUACCAAGGCGGCGACGGGUAGCCGGCCUGAGAGGGUGGACGGCCACAUUGGGACUGAGAGACGGCCCAGACUCCUACGGGAGGCAGCAGUGGGGAAGAUUGCACAAUGGGCGGAAGCCUGAUGCAGCGACGCCGCGUGGGGGAUGACGGCCUUCGGGUUGUAAACUCCUUUCGACCGCGAGGAAGCCACCUGGUUGGAAGGGUGGUGACGGUAGUGGUAGAAGAAGCACCGGCUAACUACGUG